rnacentral:rRNA from 1 species
UACGGGGGGGGCGAAGCGUUGUUCGGAAUUACUGGGCGUAAAGGGCGCGUAGGCGGCCUUCUAAGUCGGACGUGAAAUCCCUCGGCUCAACCGAGGAACUGCGUCCGAUACUGAAAGGCUUGAAUCCGGGAGAGGGAUGUGGAAUUCCAGGUGUAGCGGUGAAAUGCGUAGAUAUCUGGAGGAACACCGGUGGCGAAGGCGGCAUCCUGGACCGGCAUUGACGCUGAGGCGCGAAAGCUAGGGGAGCAAACGGGG